rnacentral:rRNA from 1 species
UACGGAGGGUGCAAGCGUUGUCCGGAUUUAUUGGGUUUAAAGGGUGCGUAGGCGGCCCGUUAAGUCAGCGGUGAAAUCCCGGGGCUCAACCCCGGAACUGCCGUUGAUACUGGCGGGCUUGAGUUCGGUCGAGGCGGGCGGAACUGGCGGUGUAGCGGUGAAAUGCUUAGAUACCGCCAAGAACCCCGAUUGCGUAGGCAGCUCGCUGGGCCGAAACUGACGCUGAGGCACGAAAGCGUGGGGAGCGAACAGGAUUAGAAACCCCAGUAGUCC